AGUGUGAUAGCUGGGUCAAAUGGUGGUUCCAUUCCAAGUUUUAUAAGGCAUCUUCAUAACUGCUUUCCAGAGUGGUCACCAAUUUGCAAUCCCACCAGCAAU
rnacentral:pre_miRNA from 1 species